UCUCCGUAGGUGAACCAGCGGAGGGAUCAUUACAGAGUUGCAAAACUCCCAACCCAUUGUGAACGUUACCUAUCCCGUUGCUUCGGCGGGCGGCCCGGGCCCCGCGCCCGGCGCCCCCCGGCCCCCCGUGGGCGCCCGCCGGAGGUAAACCAAACCCUUGAAUUGCAUGCCUCUCUGUGCCUUCUGUGCUGAAUAAGUCAAAACUUUCAACAACGGAUCUCUUGGUUCUG
rnacentral:misc_RNA from 1 species